AAGGGUGCGACGGAAACAAUAAUAAUUUCAAGGAUGCUCUGGGAUGCAGGAAAGCGUGCAGAAACCAAAAACAACGACAUCAAGAGCAACGAGAAAAACUUACUCAAGACGCUGGAACUGGUGAUUUCAUUUUUAAGGAAGACGACGGGGAUGUAUGCGGUCAGUCUUAAGACAGCGGAAAUCUUUGUCCAGGAGGAGAGCCAAAACCUGAUGAAAUGUGGUACUAUAACAGCACUACGAAGGACUGCGCUCCUUUCACUUAUCUUGGUUGCGGAGGAAAUCAAAAUAGAUUUUCUCACCAAGAUGUGUGCCAGCAAACAUGCGC